rnacentral:lncRNA from 1 species
CCCUGUUUAUGUGAAGGCAGGGUUGAGGAUGGACAUAUUCCGAUUGAACUCGUUCCAUCUUCCCUUCACUCAUCCUCUUCCCUUCCCAUUUCCCAUGAACAACUUUUUUUAACAAUCUCACACUUUACAUACCUCAUCCAUUGCCUGUCGAGCUUCACACCUACCACACCACGGCAUUGAUGCUUUCUUACAGAUCCCAACCACGAUGCCCUAGCCGCCCUCCUCCUUCCUUUUCUAUCAUUUACUUUUUAUUUCCUACAAUUAAUAACCGGUUAUCCAAAAUCACCGAUCAUCGGAACAGAAGAUCAGGAAUACCGGGGCAGGGCCACCCGUCC